rnacentral:lncRNA from 1 species
UAAAAUGUUCACCCAACCCACACCCAAUCCAGCAGUGAUGCUGCGAAAACUCUAAUGUUUUGGGAACAAAUCAAGGUUUCGCAGCAGUCCUUCUCCAAUGGCUUCGUCUCCUUCUCCGGUGGCUUCAAUCCUUCUCCGGUGGCUUCGUUUGCUAUCAUCGCAGUGCCUCUUUCGAGUUCAGAUGCUGCCACAGUCACGAGAAUAAUAAGAAUGGAGGUUCUUGGGUUGCUCUUUGUUUAAGUUUCCAAGUUUUCGCGCGCUGCUUCACAGUGAGCACAGAAAAAUGAAGGGUGCACUCUUGGGUUGGGUGCACAUUUUACCUAAACUCUUAUUUUCAUUUCAUUAAUGGUAUUUUAGUCUUUUCCUUUAUGUAUAUUGGGUGCAGUCCAAAAUGAUCUGGUGCAGGAAGAAUAUGCCUUAUGAUAAAGUAGUUAUUCUA